UUUGAUCNNNGCUCAGGAUGAACGCUAGCGGCAGGCUUAACACAUGCAAGUCGAGGGGUAUAGCACUUCGGUGCUAGAGACCGGCGCACGGGUGCGUAACGCGUAUGCAAUCUACCUUUUACAGGGGGAUAGCCCAGAGAAAUUUGGAUUAAUACCCCAUNGUAUAUUNGANNNGCAUCANCNNUNUAUUAAAGUCACAACGGUAAAAGAUGAGCAUGCGUCCCAUUAGNUAGAUGGUAAGGUAACGGCUUACCAUGGCUACGAUGGGUAGGGGUCNUNAGAGGGAGNUNCCCCACACUGGUACUNAGACACGGACCAGACUCNUACGGGAGGCAGCANUUAGGAAUAUUGGACAAUGGGGGCAAGCCUUAUCCAGCCCUGCCGGGUGCAGGAUGACGGUCCUAUGGAUUGUAAACUGCUUUUAUACGAGAAGAAACACUGAUUCGUGAAUCAGCUUGACGGUAUCGUAAGAAUAAGGAUCGGCUAACUCCGUGCCAGCAGCCGCGGUAAUACGGAGGAUCCAAGCGUUAUCCGGAAUCAUUGGGUUUAAAGGGUCCGUAGGCGGUCUAGUAAGUCAGUGGUGAAAGCCCAUCGCUCAACGGUGGAACGGCCAUUGAUACUGCUGGACUUGAAUUAUUAGGAAGUAACUAGAAUAUGUAGUGUAGCGGUGAAAUGCUUAGAGAUUACAUGGAAUACCAAUUGCGAAGGCAGGUUACU
rnacentral:rRNA from 1 species